UGCUUCAGAGGAGGCUCUUCUGAGGCUUCUGCCAGUGGUCAAAGCCUCCAACAAAGCUCUACUCAGUCACUGUAACCUCUCAGAGAGAAGCUGUGAAGCUCUGUCCUCAGUUCUCAGCUCUCAAGCCUCCUGUCUGAGGGUGCUGGACCUGAAUGAUAACAACCUGCAAGAUUCAGGAGUGAAGCUUCUGUCUACUGGGGUGAACAGUCCAUACUGCAAACUGGAAAUUCUGCGGUCAGAUCAAGUGAUAUUAGGGGUUUUUUUUUUCAUCAAUUGGCAAAAAACUCUGAUAAGUAAACUUCAUUCAUAUGUGUUUGUACUUUUAGUAUUUCAGUCCAAGUCAGAGUAAACUGUCACAUUUCUGUCUUCUUUAAGAUAAGGCAAUGAGGAUUCCAGCAAGUCCUGAAAAAGUAUUAAAUACUGCCAAAUCCAAUAGCUUCUAACUGCACCAUCAAUAGACUUUAACACAAGUGUUUUUUGUCUUCCCGUUCAACAAUUUUCAGGCUGAAUGUCUGUAACCUGUCAGAGAGAAGCUGUGAAACACUGUCCUCAGUUCUCAGCUCCGAGUCCUGUAGUCUGAGAGAGUUGGACCUGAGUAACAACAACAUAAAGGAGUCAGGACUGCAGCUUCUUUCUGCUGCAGUGGAGAGUCCAUACUGUACACUGGAAAUUCUCAGGGUGCCCAAGAAAGUCCAGCAGGUGCCAGGACCAUAUCCUAAAAGAUGAGUUAGCUGCAGGAUCAGGGUUCUACCAGUGCAAAGCUUGCUCGGGAAUGGCAGGGGGCAGGUGUAAGUGCAUCUGAAUGCACAGUGAGGUGAAGACGGUGUCAAGAAGUGUCAAGAAGGGCAGCUAAAAAGCAUCAGGUACAAACUGAUAUUCUGCAAAAAAGUACAGCAUGUCGACUGCUGAAGACUGGGAUAAAAGUCAUUUUCUCUGAUGAAGCCCCUUUCCGAUUGUUUGGGGCAUCUGGAAAAAGGAUUUUCUGGAGAAGAAACGGUGAGCGCUACCAUCAGUCCCGUCCCAUGCCAACAGUAAAGCAUACUGAGACCAUUCAUGUGUGGGGCUGCUUCUCAUCCAAGGGAGUGGGCUGCCUCACAAUGUUGCCAAAGAACACAGCCAUGAAUAAGCAAACAUCCUCCAACAGCAACUUCUUCCAACCAUCCAAGAACAAUUUGUGAAUAUUUUGUAUUGACCAAAUUUUGUAUAGAGCCGUUUCUAGGAUCAUGUGAGUACCAUGCCAUAAGUACCAAGUAAUAACUAAGUGGCUGGGGGAACAAGUUAUUAAAACUUUGGGUCCAUGGCCAGGAAACUCCCCAGAACCAAAUUUAAUUGAGAGUUUGUGGUCAAUCCUAAAAAGGCAGGAGGACAAACAAAAAUGACUAAUUCUGACAAACUCCAAGCAUUGAUUAUGAAAGAAUUGGCUGCCAUUAGUCACGAUUUGGCCCAAAAAUUGAUUGACAGUAUGGCAGGGCUAAUUGCAGAGGUCUUAAAAAAGAAGGACCAACACUGCAAAUACUAUCUCUUUGCAUGAAUGUGAUGUAAGUCUCAAUAAAAGCAUUUGAAACUUAUGAAGUGCUUGUAUUUAAACUUCAGUACAUCACAGAAACAACUGACCAAAAGAUCUAAAAACGCAGAGGCAGCAAACUUUUUGAAAAAACUCAAAGCUGUUAGGUCAAUCUGCUUCCUGGAUUAGAGCCAGUGACACCCAGCUACACACCAUUUGCAAGAUUUGUGAAUUGUUAAGUGGUUAUAUAAAGAAAGUUGAUUUAAAUUGAAUCUGAUCAUUCAUGAAAACCACCAACAUCAAUGACCAGUGACUCGGGUCAUGGAAAUUAUAAUUCUAAGUAAUUUUUCAAUCUCACUCCACAAGGUGCUGAUAUCUGUACUCUGAACACCAGUAUUUUGAAAUCAAAUUUGCUACUUAUCCAGUUUCUAUCUUGUGCAAAGAACAUAGAUGUAUAGAAACUCUCUAACUCAACAGUAUGAGCUAUGUUGACUGAUAACAGUCUGUUUAAGCUUUCAAGAUGAACAAAAGAGGAAUAUAAAGAUAAUGAAGGUCAUUGUUUUAAUCAGUCAUAUUUCAUUCAAUACAGUGGUGUACUGACAGAUCCAGGAUCAGUCCAAAUCAUCAGCAGUUUGAUCCACAAAUGGAUUGAAGUAUAUUUGUGAAAAUGUUAGGCUGUUUCUUUAACAGUGUCUAACAGUGUGUGUAUGAG